rnacentral:rRNA from 1 species
AUACGUAGGGUACAAGCGUUAAUCGGAAUUACUGGGCGUAAAGCGUGCGCAGGCGGUUUUGUAAGCCAGAGGGGAAAUCCCCCGGCUCAACCUGGGGACUGCCUUUGGUACUGCAAGGCUAGAGUACGGCAGAGGGGGAUGGAAUUCCGCGUGUAGCAGUUUAAUGCGUAGAUAUGCGGAGUGACACCGGUGGCGAAGGCAAUCCCCGGGGCCUGUACGGACGCUCAUGCACGAAAGCGUGGGGAGCAAACAUGAUUAGAUACCCAGGUAGUCCACGCCCUAACCGAGGUCAACUGGUUGUUGGGUCUUCAUUGACUCAGUAACGAAGCUAACGCGUGAAGUUGACCGCCUGGGGAGUACGGCCGCAAGGUUGAAACUCAAAUGAAUUGGCGGGG